GCAAACUUGGUCAUUUAGAGGAAGUAAAAGUCGUAACAAGGUUUCCGUAGGUGAACCUGCGGAAGGAUCAUUAACGAGUUUUGAAGUGGGAUUGAUGCUGGCCUCCCGAGGCAUGUGCUCGUCCUCACUCAUCCACUCAUAACACCUGUGCACUGUUGAGGUGUGACCCCCCCUUCAAUGGAGCCGUUCCCCCCCUCCCGUAAAGGGAAUGGGGGUCGAGCCGGGGUCAGGCCUUCUUCCAAUCACAAACAACUUGUCAUGUCUAUUCGGAAUGUGAUGUUUUAUGUUAAUGAAACAAUACAACUUUCAACAACGGAUCUCUUGGCUCUCGCAUCGAUGAAGAACGCAGC
rnacentral:misc_RNA from 1 species